CGAGGGACCGAGGGGCUGCCGGUGUGUUUCCCUGGGCUACCCGGCGGCGAACCUGUGGCCGAAGGGUGCGGUGAACUGCGCAGCCCGGAACUUGAGCCCUGAGACUUCGCACCAGGUGAAAGAGAAUACACUCCGGUUGUGAAACACGCAUUUCGCAUCGCCGUUCUGUUUCUUUCCCUGAGAGCUCUCCUGACUCGGACCUGCUUUCUGCAACGCUUUCCGCCUUCCCAGGCACCCCUCCCCCAGCCCUGUAGUUCUCUGUCCUUAAAGUUUAGGAACGAAUUGAGACAAGGCUUUCUGUACGUCGGGACAGGUCGGGGAAAGAACGUUACAAGAAUACCCGUGGGGCAUACUUGGGGGUAGGGAGGGUAGAGGUUGGCAGCAUUGAGAGCCCAGACCCAAGAAAGUGAAUAGACCCAAUCUAGUGAAUAACUAGAGUUUAUAAAUAGAGUAUAAAUACAACAAAAAGUCCGACAUCGAUUCACAGGCUAUAAAACUGCGAACAAAUGCACCCUUAAAAGAUGUAUUUGUUUUUAGGGACUUCCCUGGUGGCACAGUGGUUAAGAAUCCGCCUGCCAAUGCAGGGACAGGGGUUUGAGCCCUGGUCGAGGAAGAUCCCACACGCCGCAGGGCAGCUAAGCCGGUGCACCACAACUACUGAGCCUGCGCUCUAGAGCCCACGCUCGCAGCCAGCGCACUGCAACGAAGAGUAGCCCCUGCUCACCGCAGCUAGAGAAAAGCCCACGUGGAGCAACGAAGACCCGACACAGCCAAAAAUUAAUUAAAUUAAAAAUUUAAAAAAAGAUA